GAUCUGCUGCCUUGAGCAUUAGAAGCGCUGAACGACAAGAGCGAGUGACAAGACCUCUCCACUCCACGCCAGAUACAACGUCAAGAGACUACAGAAACCAAAGCAACAGCGGAAAUAAGACGAGGAAAGAAGGAAACGUCUGCUGCUGUUGAACCAGGGACUGCCACUGGAUCACUUUAUACCGGCACAUGUAGCGUCUUGCUCUUGAUGAUAAGCAUAUGCGCAGAAGCCGUUCUCUGGCCCCUAUAGAGAGGUUGCGCUUGGAAGUGUAACUUACGAAACUUUUUGAUAUUUUGUUUUGCCUGUGACGUUUUGGAAUUAGAUUUAUUAAACGUCGACUUUCCGUUAUACUGUGGAUUUUAAAGGAGAAAAAGAAGGCUUAUAUAUAGUGUGGAUUUUAUCCGGUUUCUUUUCUUUAGUACUAUUAUUUUAUUUUAUUGUUAUCGCUAUUAUUUAUAUAGUAGCUAGCCUCUUAUAUUUUCUGGAGGAGCGCUACCGCUCAAGACGCCCGUUUUCGUGGAUUCGACGCAGGUGCUUCGCUCCUGAAGCGCAGAAUGGAAUUGUUACUUUGACCCACGAUAUCACGGUUCAUUCAUAUUCAGCAGCUUCGCUUUUGACUGUUUUGAGAGCCAAAGACUGUUCAGUGAACACACCACUGGAAUUACAACCAUGAACUUUGUCGUUUAUUCGAUACAAUUAUUCUUUGUGGCUCUCCUUCAUCUGUCUGCUGUUAAGGGUGCCCACAUACCCAAAGAAGGGAUGAAGGGCAAAAAUGAGGUGAUUCCCUUCAUGGAAGUGUACAAAAAGAGUGCGUGUAAGACGCGAGAGAUGCUGGUAGACAUCAUUCAGGAGUAUCCUGACGAGAUCGAGCACACCUACAUCCCGUCCUGUGUGGUUCUCAUGCGCUGUGCAGGCUGCUGCAACGACGAAGCACUCGAGUGUGUCCCUACAGAGACGCGCAACGUCACCAUGGAGGUACUGCGAGUCAAACAACGUGUAUCGCAGCAUAAUUUUCAACUGAGCUUCACAGAACACACCAAGUGUGAAUGCAGGCCAAAGGUAGAAGUCAAAUCAAAGAAAGAAAAAAAACCCAGAGUGGGGAGGGUUAAAAGCCGAAAGAGAGCAAGAGAGGGAGAUUCGGGCGAUCUCAGCGCCUCGGCUCACCUGCGCUCAAGCAGUAUUUUGCUCUCAAUCAUUGGCUUUAUUUCAGGGCGGCUUGUUUGCUCUUUGUAAUCUCACUUGUCCUGUCGGCUUAAAGCCCCAGUCUGCAUUUACUUGUACUCUAAUUCACACGGCCCGCAAAGAGGAAAGCAACCAAAGAUGUGAAAAGCCAAGAUGAUGAGCAUCGUGCUGAGCAGAACAAUGAAUGAAGGAUUUUUUUUUUUACGGCACAGCACUUUUUAAACCUGAGAAUGCAUUCCCUGGACGAACUGCAAACACUAGCCUGAACGAAAAGACAUAAUAAAACGAGGGCAGGAGAUACCAUCCCGAUGUAAAUUUUUAAGAUAGUAAUAUAUUAAUAUAUAGAAUAUAUAUUAUAUAUAUGGAAUGACAAUGACAAUGUGUGACGCUGCUAUCACCUACAAGUAAACGAAGACGCUGCUUGGCGUGUGAAUGGGAUAUAUUUCAGUGUCACUGCACCUGGGCCUGUGAUUGGACAGAACACAGUGAGGUAACGCUGUGGAUUCAUAUUUAAAGACUCGGAUCGAAUGUCCAAGACUUGAGUGAAAGGUGCAAACGACAGCCUCCAACCCUUUACAUGAACAGUUACAGACUGUCAAUCAAAGGAGAGGAUGAGAAUUCUUUCCGGAAUGUUCGGAACAUUGGGUCCAGGCAUGGGAUACGAAUGCGGAACUAUCUCUUUCUGUGAUGUCACUCUCACUAGGGUGAAGUCACCCUGUACUGACUAACAUCCAAUAGGACUUGGUGUGAUAAUACUAAAGGGAUAUUACAUAUAUGUACAUAUGGAGAUAAAAUAAAAAUAAAAAGGUACAAAAUUCAAAUCGAUUCUGACUUUUGCUAAGGAACAGGCUCGUUCCAUUCACCGCAGUAGUAAAAGAUAACACAGAUAUCUAAGAUUAACGUUUUCCAAAGAGAAUAUUGCACAGGACUUUAGGAACUGUUCAUUACCACACAAUAUCGGUGUAUUCAUAUCUAAUAUCCCUUUGUGUAGUUCACUACAUCUAAUUUAUAAUGUUAGAAUAUGUUCAGUAUUCUGUGUAUUUAAUUUGAUCUAUUUAUAUUCAGUGUUAUUGUUGAUAUUGUUUUGAUUUGUUUCCUAUUGACAUUGUCACCAAUUUGAAAAACUGUGGACGGCUUUAAAGAGCGAAAGACAAAAGAUAAACAAACACUUCAACAUUCCUGAAGCGCCUUUUUUCGUUUAUUGUAACGUUUCUGACUGAACGAUCAGUUCGGUGGAGACACGAGGCCUGCGGACGAGGUUUUAUGAUCGAAAAACAAAACAUUCUCUUUGUAUGAAAGUGCCAGAAAUGAGUUUUUGUUUGUUUGUUUGUUUGCCAUGUACAGCCACAUUUUCAGUAUAUAUUUCACAGUAAUAUAUUUAUUGGUGCUGUUAAUUAUUAACAUCCUUUUGUGUUUUUAGUAUAACUAGUAAACAUAUUUAUUUUCAAAUGAUAUUGUUUUUUAUUAAAGCUAAAAUGGAUUUCU